AAUUUUUUUACUCCCCCUAAAUAGGGGCCCUGAAUUAAAAAUUUGCCCCGGGCCCCCGAAUUUCUCUGUGCGGCCGUGAGUGCUAGUUAUUUAUCGUUAUACACUUCUCAAAAUUCUAACAGUUUAACUGCUUUUAAAACUACAUGAAAUUUAUGAAUAUGCAACUAGUGCUAGCUAUAUAUAUUGUACACGUUUCAAAAUUUUAACAGUAACUGCUUUAAAACUACAUGAAAUUUAUGAAACAUACAAAUGUCAAAUGCUAUAUAUAUUGUUAGGUUACUUAAUUGUACUACCAGUUCAAUGUCUGGUCACUCUUGCCCUAAUAUACAAAUGCUAUAUAUAUUGUUACUUAAUUGUAUUCCCAUGCAGUUCAUCAUCUUUUACUCUUCGUCUAUAUAUAAAUGGUAUAUAUCUUGUUACUUAAUUGUAUUGCGAUGCAGUUCAUCAUCUGUUACUCUUUCCCUUUAUACAAAUGCUAUAUAUAUUGUUACUUAAUUGUAUUCCCUCACUGUAAAUUUCCAAAUGAAUCAACUGGAAAAGUGGUCACCAAAAACGGUGACGGAAUAAAUUUUUUGGAGUUGAUUCAAUUCUUUGAAAUUUCCAUUGUAAACGUGUACGUGCUUUGGUCGCUAAGGUUAGUUUUGGGGUUCCAAGUGAUAGCAUUAAGUUCUUUAUUUUUAUCAGAUUUCGUACGACUCUUGCUUUCUCUUGAAUAAGGGACUAGUUCAGAUUAGGGCAGGCUUAUCGCGUUCAUGGUUAACUUAUGGAACAGUAUGUUUUUCCUUUCUUUGAGCAUGUUCGGACUGUCAAUGAUGCUUCAUCGGUUCUUAACCAAGAUUCGUGUCCCUCACGCUUAGCCAUAUCAAAGGCGGAAAGCCCAGACGAAUCUUUUAGAUAAAUGUCUGCAUUGUGCUGAAUAAGGAUUUCAAUAGCACGUUGUUUUCCAGCAAGUCCUUCAGUG